ACUAGGAGCUCCGCCUCCUGGACCUCCCUCGGAUAUUUAGCAAUCUAAAAUUGCACAAUAAUUGUGUAAGCAGAUGACCUCAAGUUAGAUGUUUCUGUCCAUGACUGAAGAGUUUGAUAUGAGUGAUGUUCUCAUCGGGGGUAAACAGAGUAGUGACUAUUGCACCUAAGGAUGUUCAUCGUUUCCAGAUUCUGGGACUUCUCUUAUAGCCAGUCCAACGAUAUUUGCUAUUCUUUAGUAAUCAGACUAGUAAGGUGUUUGACUAAAGCUAUUUAAAGAUGUUUGUAGAUUUAUGUUAAUGGAUCAU